rnacentral:rRNA from 1 species
GAUGAACGCUGGCGGCGUGCCUAAUACAUGCAAGUCGAGCGAAUGGAUUAAGAGCUUGCUCUUAUGAAGUUAGCGGCGGACGGGUGAGUAACACGUGGGUAACCUGCCCAUAAGACUGGGAUAACUCCGGGAGACCGGGGCUAAUACCGGAUAACAUUUUGAACCGCAUGGUUCGAAAUUGAAAGGCGGCUUCGGCUGUCACUUAUGGAUGGACACGCGUCGCAUUAGCUAGUUGGUGAGGUACCGGCUCACCAAGGCAACGAUGCGUAGCCGACCUGAGAGGGUGAUCGGCCACACUGGGACUGAGACACGGCCCAGACUCCUACGGGAGGCAGCAGUUGGGAAUCUUCCGCAAUGGACGAAAGUCUGACGGAGCAACGCCGCGUGAGUGAUGAAGGCUUUCGGGUCGUAAAACUCUGUUGUUAGGGAAGAACAAGUGCUAGUUGAAUAAGCUGGCACCUUGACGGUACCUAACCAGAAAGCCACGGCUAACUACGUGCCAGCAGCCGCCGUAA